rnacentral:rRNA from 1 species
GCCAGACUCCUACGGGAGGCAGCAGUCGGGAAUAUUGCGCAAUGGAGGAAACUCUGACGCAGUGACGCCGCGUGCAGGAAGAAGGUUUUCGGAUUGUAAACUGCUUUAGACAGGGAAGAUACAAGACAGUACCUGUAAAUAAGCUCCGGCUAACUACGUGCCAGCAGCCGCGGUAAUACGUAGGGAGCAAGCGUUAUCCGGAUUUAUUGGGUGUAAAGGGUGCGUAGACGGGAAGGCAAGUUGGUUGUGAAAUCCCUCGGCUUAACUGAGGAACUGCAACCAAAACUAUCUUUCUUGAGUGCUGGAGAGGAAAGUGGAAUUCCUAGUGUAGCGGUGAAAUGCGUAGAUAUUAGGAGGAACACCAGUGGCGAAGGCGGGUUCCUGGACAUUAACUGACGCUGAGGCACGAAGGCCAGGGGAGCGAAAGGGAUUAGAUACCCCUGUAGA